rnacentral:rRNA from 1 species
GAAAUUCCACCACCCUCUACCAUACUCUAGCUUGUCAGUUUUGAAUGCAGUUCCCAGGUUGAGCCCGGGGCUUUCACAUCCAACUUAACAAACCACCUACGCGCGCUUUACGCCCAGUAAUUCCGAUUAACGCUUGCACCCUCUGUAUUACCGCGGCUGCUGGCACAGAGUUAGCCGGUGCUUAUUCUGUCGGUAACGUCAAAACAGCAACGUAUUAAGUUACUGCCCUUCCUCCCAACUUAAAGUGCUUUACAAUCCGAAGACCUUCUUCACACACGCGGCAUGGCUGGAUCAGGCUUUCGCCCAUUGUCCAAUAUUCCCCACUGCUGCCUCCCGUAGGAGUCUGGACCGUGUCUCAGUUCCAGUGUGACUGAUCAUCCUCUCAGACCAGUUACGGAUCGUCGCCUUGGUGAGCCAUUACCUCACCAACUAGCUAAUCCGACCUAGGCUCAUCUGAUAGCGCAAGGCCCGAAGGUCCCCUGCUUUCUCCCGUAGGACGUAUGCGGUAUUAGCGUCCCUUUCGAGACGUUGUCCCCCACUACCAGGCAGAUUCCUAGGCAUUACUCACCCGUCCGCCGCUGAAUCAGAGAGCAAGCUCUCUUCAUCCGCUCGACUUGCAUGUGUUAGGCCUGCCGCCAGCGUUCAAU